UGGGGAAUAUUGCACAAUGGGCGCAAGCCUGAUGCAGCCAUGCCGCGUGUGUGAAGAAGGCCUUCGGGUUGUAAAGCACUUUCAGCGAGGAGGAAGGUGGUGAGCUUAAUACGCUCAUCAAUUGACGUUACUCGCAGAAGAAGCACCGGCUAACUCCGUGCCAGCAGCCGCGGUAAUACGGAGGGUGCAAGCGUUAAUCGGAAUUACUGGGCGUAAAGCGCACGCAGGCGGUUUGUUAAGUCAGAUGUGAAAUCCCCGGGCUCAACCUGGGAACUGCAUUUGAAACUGGCAAGCUAGAGUCUCGUAGAGGGGGUGAGAAUUCCAGGUGUAGCGGUGAAAUGCGUAGAGAUCUGGAGGAAUACCGGUGGCGAAGGCGGCCCCCUGGACGAAGACUGACGCUCAGGUGCGAAAGCGUGGGG
rnacentral:rRNA from 1 species